UCGCACCUACCGAUUGAAUGGUCCGGUGAAAUUUUCGGACUGCUGCAUUGUUCUUGGUUUCAAGAACGUUGCGGUGGGAAGUUGCUUAAACCUUACCAUUUAGAGGAAGUAA
rnacentral:rRNA from 1 species